GACGAACGCUGGCGGCGUGCUUAACACAUGCAAGUCGAACGAUGAACCGGAGCUUGCUCUGGGGAUUAGUGGCGAACGGGUGAGUAACACGUGGGCAACCUGCCCCAGACACCGGGAUAACCAUUCGAAAGGAUGGCUAAUACCGGAUACGACCACUUCGGGCAUCCGAUGGUGGUGGAAAGGAUUCUGGUCUGGGAUGGGCCCGCGGCCUAUCAGCUUGUUGGUGGGGUAAUGGCCUACCAAGGCGACGACGGGUAGCCGGCCUGAGAGGGCGACCGGCCACACUGGGACUGAGACACUGCCCAGACUCCUACGGGAGGCAGCAGUGGGGAAUAUUGCGCAAUGGGCGAAAGCCUGACGCAGCGACGCCGCGUGAGGGACGAAGGUCUUCGGAUUGUAAACCUCUUUCAGCAGGGAUGAAGCGAAAGUGACAGUACCUGCAGAAGAAGCACCGGCUAACUACGUGCCAGCCGCCGCCGUAAGAC
rnacentral:rRNA from 1 species